UACGGAGGAUGCAAGCGUUAUCCGGAAUGAUUGGGCGUAAAGCGUCCGCAGGUGGCUAUGUAAGUCCGCUGUUAAAGAGUCUAGCUCAACUAGAUAAGAGCAGUGGAAACUACAAGGCUAGAGUACGUUCGGGGCAGAGGGAAUUCCUGGUGUAGCGGUGAAAUGCGUAGAGAUCAGGAAGAACACCAGUGGCGAAGGCGCUCUGCUAGGCCGUAACUGACACUGAGGGACGAAAGCUAGGGGAGCGAAUGGG
rnacentral:rRNA from 1 species